UGACAGUUUAACUGUCCUAAAGGGUUGUUCGAGACUAGAACGUUGAUAGGCAGGGUGUGUAAGCGUUGUGAGGCGUUGAGCUAACCUGUACUAAUUGCCCGUGAGGCUUAACCAUACAACACCCAAGGGGUUUUGUA
rnacentral:rRNA from 1 species